GACGGUACCUAACCAGAAGCCACGGCUAACUACCUGCCAGCAGCCGCGGUAAUACGUAGGUGGCAAGCGUUAUCCGGAAUUAUUGGGCGUAAAGCGCGCGCAGGUGGUUUCUUAAGUCUGAUGUGAAAGCCCACGGCUCACCCGUGGAGGGUCAUUGGAAACUGGGAAACUUGAUUGCAAAAAAGGAAAUUGGAAUUCCAUGUGUACCGGUGAAAUGCGUAAAAAUAUGGAGGAACACCAGUGGCAAAGGCGACUUUCUGGUCUGUAACUGACACUGAGGCCCGAAAGCGUGGGGAGCAAAC
rnacentral:rRNA from 1 species